rnacentral:rRNA from 1 species
UCGCCUGUUUAUCAAAAACAUCGCCUCCUGCAAACAUCUAAGUAUAGGAGGUCCAGCCUGCCCAGUGACUAUGGGUUCAACGGCCGCGGUAUUUUGACCGUGCAAAGGUAGCGCAAUCACUUGUCUUUUAAAUGAAGACCCGUAUGAAUGGCUAAACGAGGGCUUAACUGUCUCCCCUUUCCAGUCAGUGAAAUUGAUCUAUCCGUGCAGAAGCGGGUAUAAAUCUACAAGACGAGAAGACCCUUUGGAGCUUAAGGUACAGACCCAAUCGCGUUAAACAACUUAUUAAAGAGCAUAAACUUAGCGCAUCAUGGAAUCUUACCUUCGGUUGGGGCGACCACGGAGGAAAAAACAGCCUCCGAGUGGACCGGGAAUAAAUCCUAAAGUUAAGAGCAACACCUCUAAACCACAGAACAUCUGACCAAACAUGAUCCGGACAUAAGUCCGAUCAACGAACCAAGUUACCCUAGGGAUAACAGCGCAAUCCUCUCCCAGAGUCCAUAUCGACGAGGGGGUUUACGACCUCGAUGUUGGAUCAGGACAUCCUAAUGGUGCAGCCGCUAUUAAGGGUUCGUUUGUUCAACGAUUAAAGUCCUACGUGAUCUGAGUUCAGACCGGA